rnacentral:pre_miRNA from 1 species
UCUUAUGGAUGAGGAAAGAAAGUGGUUUCUUGAGAUGGAAUCUGCUCCUGGUGGAAGAUGCUGCGAA